AUUUACAUUUAGCUUCACUAUUAACCGACUGUAUACUUCAACUUUACAAUUCAAAUUGGCAAACAAAAAUACUAACGCCCAUCUUUUUAAUACUAGCCUCUCCAAAAACAAACUCUGUCAAACCAAAAUCUCUCAAAGAAACCAAAGAAAAUGUGCAAGGUAAUUUCAAAUCUACUGUCUACCCACUCCCUAAUAACAAAGGAAUCAAGAUUAUGCGGGCUCUAUUGUUCACUCACCUCAGUAGAGACAAACCAGCUAUCACUUUAGAGAGGGCUUAUAUUAACAUCCGUGGUAGCUUACAUGGGGGUCGGUGGGCCCACUCGGGAGGGGAGCGGUUGCAACCACCUCACGCCCCUUCGCGGGAAGUACUACCGAAUGAGGAUAAGGUGUACAUAAUUCAUUCAAUAUUUCAAAGAUAUGAGCAUCCUCUGGCUCGAGGUAGACUGUAUAUGGAGACUCAUCAUCACACAAAGGCGGGCGGGAUGUGGGAGAAGUCCAGCUCUACUCUAAUUCAGAUGGAUUAUCGUAUGUGGAUGCAAUAGGAACAAUGCACUCUACUCCGUCUCCUUUUUUUUAGUAGUGAGAAAAAAGAUAAGAGACCUGUAGAUCCUAAUGCUACUACUAGUCAGUCCAUUCCCUCCGUUCCACAUAUGCACUGUACUCUGCCUCCUUUUUUUAUGCUUGGUUCUACUAUACAACCCCAGUCUGGUCAGUGGAUCUACCAGGCGCCACCCCCCUAGCCUCCCUCAUUUACCCAUUAUAUUUUUAUACGUACAAGUAUGUAUUUUCCACCAUGGGGCUGCUCUCCGUCUGCAUCGGCAACUUUGUAUCCUUCUCUUUCUCUAUGUUGUUCAUCUCCCAAUCUAUCUAAUUUACACCUUGGAGAUAGCAGCUCUGAGCCGGAGUCACAACUAUCGAAACCAGCUCUGAGCCAGACUUAGACCCAUCCUCCUUCAGCUUAUGUACGAGCACCUGCACCUGCAUCGGCACCGGCAAAUGUUGAUCAUGGUCUACAGCCAGGAGAUAGAGAUUCGAUGGGUCGGAUUUUCAUCGUGUCUGAGGGAGCUGGGUUCUAUCCAGACAAAGAUACAACAAAAGCCAUUUUGGAUGUUGUUCGGAAGCUUUAUGGCAAUCGAUUUUAUACUUCGUGGGGUGAAAUUCCAUAUGAUACUCGACAAGCUAUGUUUAACGAGUUUAUGAUGUUGUGUACAUGGGAUCCAAUAAACAAUAAAAGGAUUGCUGCAAACUUUGAGGGGAAGGGGAGGGCCAAGUUGUCGGACUGGUUUUCGAGGGCUAGAAAGUAUAUGAAGAAGCCCGACUGGCUAACCGACGGAUAGUGGGAACAACUUAAAGCAUAUUGGCGAACACCUAAUUUUUGUAGCCAAGUCUGAGCAGGCAAAGGCUGGCCGUGCAUCCCAGAAAGGUGGCUCUUUGCACAUUGCAGGUACAAGAAGUCAGGGGCACGUGGCUAAUAAAAUGAAAGAGCUAACGGGACAGUUGCCGACUCAGGAUGAGUUAUUCCUAAAGAUCCACACAAAAAAGAAGAAGCAAGACACAGAUCCGGUCGAAUGGGUCGAAGGCAGGGCUCAGGAAGCUUAUGUAAGUGAUAAUUUUAUUGUUUAAGUAAUUAUAUAAGACUAAUUAUGAUAUGUUUGUUAUAUACUGGCUUUUAUUUUUAAAUAUACAGAAUCAAUAUAUGCAACAAGUGUAGGAGUACAACCAAACUCAGCCUGAAGGCGAACCGACCUAGCUUUCACCGAAAUUGGAAAUAGAAUUGUGGUCUUGAGCAGUUGGUGGAGUAAAAAAGGGUAGAGUGUACUGUCUAGACCCAAGAAAUAACUUAAGUCACAUUUAGUCAGGACUGCGAGGGUCUUCUCGACAGGCCGAGGGAGUUGAUGGCGUUUAGAAUAAGUAAGCUCGUAAUUUAGUUGCAAAAAGUUUAGAAUAAUGUAAAAAAAAUUCCUGUACUAUAUUAGGUUAUAAGUAUUUUUAGAUGAGUGGAUCGAUUUGAAAAAUAGUCUCUAAAAGAUAGCUAGUGUCACGCCCCGAACCAUGGUCUGGGCGUAACACGGCACUCGGUGCCUGACUGCAUGUGACCGAGCGAACCACGUGGCUUGCUGAACCAUCAUGAGGCAUACAUGAGCGGAAAUAUAACGUGAAGUACAUGAUGAGCUUUUAUAAAAUAUAGUAAGUCAUAAUAUUAAACAUAAAUACUUGAUUAAAUCAUGAAUGCGGACAAUAUCAUAAAUGAGCCAAACCGGCUAACCAACUCUGGAAGUCUAACAUGACACUUGUCUUGUAAUCAUGAUUUCACGAAAUAACUUGUAAACAUGGUUUCAUGAAAUAACUUGUAUUUAGUAUGUAUGUAUCUUGUAUCAUGGCAUGAAAGUAAUUAUAUAAUAUAGUUGCAUGAAAACUUGUAGACAUAUAGGAUAUUCAUGACAUAAUCAUUCUUAGUCAAAAACAUGCAUGCAAGAACCCAUGAAAUACAAAAUAUGAGUUUUCAUGGAUUACGGACAGAUUCUCAAUAAUCAUAAUGAGUAUCAAGAACACAAUGACAGAAUAAUAGUAAUUCAAACAUAAUGUAGUCAUAGACAUGGACCUAGGGUUAUCAUGAGCAUAGUAUAGAAUAGAAACCCUAGUUUUGUAAAGUUUCAUACUUUAUGGAUUAGGAGGCGUGGGGAAGAACAAUGAUGUUUCCACACGUAGAUAGUAACUCUACAUACCUGGUGAUGCUCCAAACUUGAAUUAAAGAUUUUGACUUUGAAGAAGAUUUCCAAAAUCUUGAAUUCUUGAACCUUGAGAUGGGUUUUCUUGAAAACCCUAGUUUUGAACAAUGAUUUCUUGCUUAGAUUACAAGGAAUUAGGGACUUGAAUUCAACCUAGAAUCAUGAUAAAACUUACCUGGUAGGGUUCUUGAGGCUUGCGACUUGUUCUUUCUGACUUUAGGGUAAUUUUUCGUGACUAGGGGUGUUAGGGAAAUAAACCCCAAGCUUAAAUAUGACUUAAAAGGCGAAAUCCCGACUUUUUGACCCGAACCCGACCUGUUACGUGAUGGGUCCGCGAUGCGGGGCCAUCGCGCGAUGUUCUGCAGGUAAAUACUCAGAUUUGCGUGAUUGGUCCGCGAUGCGGGGCCAUCGCACGCGCCCCCACGUGCCUGAAAAAGCGACGUGUGUCGGUUCUGCACCGUGUUCAGUAAAAUGGACAUAACUUCUUGUACACAGCUCUGUUUGGGCUCCACAAUAUACCGUUGGAAAGUUAUUUUAAAGGGAUACAAUUUUCAUGUUUUAAGUUUCCUCAAAUUCCCAAUGGAUGUUCACUAAAUUUUACUGGAAGGAAGACGUAUCGAAAACUUAGCCGAUUCUAUAGAAUUUUAAGUGCCUUACUAUUAGCCAUAUUGAGACGAUCAUAUCUCCUUGCUCCGAUCUCUGAUUGGCUUGGUCCUUAUAUCGUUAGAAAGGUAUUUCUACAUACUACAACUUUCAUUAAGGGUACUUUCCCCAAUUCCCAACUAAUCAAGGAGUUAUCGCUGUCCGAAAUAGGCCUAUCAACCAUUUUCGCAAAACGUUCAAACCUUCAGUUUUUUUUCUUUCUAAAACUCUAAUGAUAUGAGUCUAACCUUAGUUUCAAGAUACGGGGUGUAACAGCUAGCAAUGAAUUUUCUUAGCAGAGCUUUUUUUUCUUUUCAAAAUUUUCACGUUCAACUCAUCUAUCACUCUUGUCUAGUAGUCACAUAGUAGAAAUUUAACGGGCCAAAGUGAAUCAAAACACCUAACAAUUAAGCAUACCAAAAAAGAGAUAAUAUAGCUUCUUCAUACUUAUUAAUCUCAUGUAACACUCCGUAACUUCGGGUUUAGGUGUGAAUGUGUAACAAUUAGUAUUAAGAUGACAUUUGGUCAUAUGAAGUCCUUUUGGGAUGAGUUUGGAUGGAAAAUAGUCGUUUUGAAGUCAAACCCAAUAGUGAUGUUCAUAAAAGCUCUUAAAUUCAUCUAAGUCUGAGAUACGCUGUACUUAUGCCCAGUUUUUGGGUAGUUUUGUUGGGAAUUUGAGAAAACCCAAAACAUAAAAGUUGUAAUUCAUUGAAAUACCUUUCCCACCAUAUAUUAUGGAGUUCAAUCGGAGCUCUGUGCUAGGAGUUAUGCCUAUUUUACUGGGCACUACGCAGUCUGCGCGAUGGCACAUCGGAAUCAGUGUUACUGCCAUCGUUGUGCGAAGAGAGCCUCCAGCUGCGAGGCUACACACCGAGAACGACCCUUUUAAAAGCCUAACUUUGUUAUAAUUUUUCCCCACUUCUUUUUGACUGAAUUUUUGGAGGAAAAGAACCCUAGAGAUCUCCCUCAAUCCCUAAGGUGAGUUCCUAAUCCAUCUCUAUCAAUUCUACACCAAAUUCAAUCCUCUUUGACAUUAGUUCAUCUUCCCAAACCCUAGAUUCUUGAAAACUAAAGGAAAGAAAAAGAGAAGGGGCGAAGGGGAUUCCAUCAAAAGGUAAGACUUCUGAUUUUUAUGAGAUUAUUAAUGAGGUUUGGACUAGUGUAGAGCAUACUACAAGAUUAACAUUCACUAAUGAUUCACAUAAGGAUUGAAGAACAAGCUUUAAGGCUAGAAAAGCCCUAGUUUUUCGAAUAAGGGUAGAAAUUCCUAGAAUUGUUUAAAAUUUUAAACUUUAUUAUUAAUAACCAUUGUAGAACGAUUGUUGAACUUGGAAGAACCCGUUUGCUAGAUUUUAGCGGAAAUUAAGGUAUGUCUACUUUUCAACAAUCUUCUUUUUGAAGUAUGUUAUCUUGUUUGAAACGUGUAAAUGAUUGUUCGUGACUUGAAAUAUUUCUUUGGAAUAUGAACAUGAUUAAAACUCUUGUUUGAAGUUCUUUUGGAAUUAAAGAUAAUUUUUUUUAGACAAGGUCAUGUGUGUGUAGGGUCAAGCCAACACCGAACCUUAUACGAACUAUACUUCUUUGUGAAACUCGUUUUCCCCAUAAUUGGAUGAUUGAAAUCAUUUUUCUAAAGGUUGGACCUUAAAUUUAUUUUGUUGUUGAAUGGACUUCUUGAACUUGAAAUUUAAUAAGAGGUAUGAGUAAGAUUUCUUCAUUGGUUAUGACUUGAAAUGUCUCUAUUGUGAGAUGAUGACUUGAGAAGUAAGAUUCGGAUCUAAGCCAUGAUUGAUGAUUCGGUUAAUAUGCCAUGAUUUGUAUUUUGUUUGGGUUUGGGCCUGUAUGGGCAAACUGUGCAAAAGUUUUUUCCAAAAUUUGAACUGAAAUUGUCUAAUAGAAACAAUAUAUUUUAGUUAAAACUACAUUUUCCUUAAACCUAAUUGGCAGAAUGUUGCCAUCGGAAUAAAGCAAAUAGCAAGACAACAAUAGCGACGAACAUAAGUUUGCAAGAAGAGAGAAUAACAACAUUUCAGAAAGAAAACACUAAAACUAGAGGUGUACAUGGAUCAGGUUGGUUUCGGAUUUUUCAAAUACCAAAUCAAACCAAUUGCGUCGGGUUUUUAUAUUAAUAAACCAAACCAAACCAAUAAAAUUCGGAUUUUUCAACCUCGGGUUUUCUCAGGUUUUUCGGGAAAAGUCUUCAUACAAAACAUAUAACUUUUACUUCAAAUAUUUCUUUAGUCCUAGUAAGAUACGAUUAUAUAAUUAAGAUGUUUCUUAAGAAAAUUACACAAAAUGUCAAAUGAGUGAUGACAUUGUAGUAAAAUAUUCAACAAAAAAAGAUAAUAAAAUCAGUUAAGAAUAAAUAUUGCUAAUUAACAGGCCAUAAAGAAAAUGACCAUAAUCUAAAAAUAUGAAAUCAUGCUAAAAUAAGCACGGCUAAUAAGUUUAAUUACAUGACAAAGAAAAAAAAUUAAAGUUAUGUAUUUUCACUGUCUAAACCAAUUAUGCAAAAACUAAAGAAUAGAUAUCCAACAUUAUUGUCAUUCCUACUGUUAGAAUUGAAUUUCUUUUGUUAGCAUUAGUGUUAAGUUGGUUUUGAUUUGUCUUUAUUUGAGUUAUUAACAUCCAUGGGAUAUAAAACUUAUUGAUAUUCAAAAUUCUAAGUUCAAGUUUGAAAUACUAUGAUAAAAGACAAAAAAAAAAUAUGAAAAAAAAUAAGAAAUAUUUAUAAAUUACAUUGCAAAUAAAUAUUUUUAUGUGUAAAAUAUUUUAAAAAUUGAAUACAUGUAAUGUUGGGUUGGUUUGGUUCGGUUUAACUUUUUUUAGCUAAAACCAAACCAAACUAAUUAUGAUCGGACUUUUUUCUCAACACCAAACCAAGUCAAAUCAAACCACUAAUCGGUUUUUUUUUCUCGAUUUGACUCAAUUCAUCGGUUUGGUACGGUUUGUUGAUUUUCUUUGUACACCCCUAACUAAAACCAUAAAUAAAGUUUUUUAUGUAAUCCAUUAUACUCAUCAAUCUUGUCAUUCAAACGACUCUCUUAGCUUGUUUUUUCAAGCUUGGGAAUCAAUUUGGAUUGGGUGUCUAUAUAUACUAAGCGCCGUGGGGGACAAACACGGCUCUCCCCGGUUGUACCAAAAGCUAUAUAACUUAUACAUUUUAUUCAGCUAUUUUUAUAUCCCAUGUAGACAUGUGUCAUAGUACUUAAUAUUUAUUCCCUUCUCAUGUAUAGACGUAUGCAUUUCAAAUUUAAUUCUCCGACAUAUUUAUUUCCUCCGUACACUUUUACUUAUUCACUUUUGACUUUUCGGGUUAUAUCUGAAUAUUUAUUCUCUUCUCAUAUAUAGACAUAUGCAGUUAAAUUUUAAUUCUCCUACACAAAUUUAUUUCCUCCAUGCACUUUAAUUUGUUCACUUUUGACUUUUCACAUUCUUUGAGAAUUAAUAAAUCCCACGUGGAUAUAUGUCGUAGUACUGAAUAUUUAUUCUCUUCUCAUAUAUACACGUGUGCACUUCUAUUUUAAUUCUCCGACACAUAUUUAUUUCCUCCGUGCACUUUUACUUGUUCAUUUUGACUUUUCACGUUAUUUAAGAAUUACUAAAUGAAGUACUCCUUCCGUCUCAUAUUACUUGGCCACAUUACUAUACUUGACUUACACGUUCUUUAAGAAUUAAUAAAAAUGAAGUACUCCUUUCGUCCAUAUUAACGUAGACAUGUGUCAUAGUACUUAAUAUUUAAUUCUCUUCUCAUGUAUAGACGUAUGCACUUUAAAUUUAAUUCUCCGACACAUUUAUUUCCUCCGUGCACUUUUACUUGUUCACUUUUGAUUUUCGUGUUCUAGCUAAAUAUUUAUUCUCUUCUCAUGUAUAGACAUAUGCAAUUCAAUUUAAUUCUCCUACACAAAUUUAUUUUCUCCGUGCACUUUAAUUUGUUCAUUUUUUAUUUUUCACAUUCUUUGACAAUUAAUAAAUCUCACAUGGAUAUAUGUCAUAGUACUGAAUAUUUAUUCUCUUCUCAUGUAUACACGUGUGCACUUCUAUUUUAAUUCUCCGACACAUAUUUAUUUCCUCCGUGCACUUUUACUUGUUCAUUUUUUACUUUUCACGUUAUUUAAGAAUUAAUAAAUGAAGUACUCCUUCCGUCCCAUAUUACUUAGCACCAUUACUAUACUUGACCUUUUACAUUCUUUAAGAAUUAAUAAAAAUAAAGUACUCCCUUCGUCCAUAUUACUUGGCCACAUUACUAAAAAUAUAUGUCUAUUUUUCUAUUCUAUAUUUAUCUUCUUUUCUAUUUCUAUUAUCCCUAUUUUCCUUGUUUGUCAAUAUUUUAAACGUAAAGAGAGGACGAACAAUAGCAAUGCAAAUUUGCACCAAAAGUUAUUUUAAUGCUCCUACACAUAACUUGUUCACUUUUGACUUUUCACGUUCUUUGAAAAUUAAUAAAUCGAGUAUAUAUUUUAUCAUAAUAUCCAUAUUUAUUUGUAUAUAGUCUCAAUAGCCUCAUAAAAUAAUUUGAAAAUGAAUAAUUAAUGUGAAGGGUAAAAUAAGAAGAAGAUUUUUUUUUUCCUUGAUAUGUUAAAAUCGACAAGUAAAAGUAAAGGGAGGGAGUGACAUUUAGCCCUGUUUUCCUUCAUUGUCAAUACUUUACUUAUUUAUUCUCCUUUGCAGUCUCUGAUUAUUGUUUCUUUACAUUUAUAAAAUGUAUUACUUUAUAUUUUCAUUUCAGAAUUAAAAUUUGAUGAUUAAUGAUAUAACAUAUAUCUUUCUAAUAUUGAUUUAUUUGUAACAAUUAAUAUAAAAAAUUAUAAUAUAUUUUUUAAUUAAUUUAAUAAAAAUAUUUUAAUCCAAUAUAUACAACAAAAUGGUUUUUAUGUUUGGAUCUAAAUAGUUACUUAAUUGAAAUAGAUAUCAACCUGUCGGUAUACAUAUAAAAUAUUAAAGAAUUUAAAAGAAAAAAUUUAGAAUCAAAAUAUUAAUUUUCCCUCAUAUUCUUACUAAUUUUCUUGUACAUCAAUGAACAACUUUCAUUGUCAUGAUAAUGAUAAAAAAGUCCGACUCUUUCCAUCUCAAAGACUUUUAAUUACAACUAAAGUGAUGGUACAUAAAAUACAUUUUGUAUAUAUAAUAACAAUUAGAAUGUUUUUAAAAGUUAUUUUCAAAAUACAAACCUUAAAUUAAAGUGAAUAGACAUGUUUGGCCCGUGCAUUGCACGGGCAUAUAUUGCUAGUUUUAUGAAUAUUUACGAAAUAAUUCUUAAAAUUGAGAAAAGAAAGUUUUUGAGUGAAAAGUUAAGUCUCUAUCUUUUUCUAAAACUCUGCUAAUUUUACCACGGGUUAUUUUGCCAAUUUUUUCUCUCGUUUUCUUAACGAGGAAACCCGUGAUUCCCUUAUAAGGACUAUUAUUAUUAAUUUGUUUGUGGUAAAGGUGUGCGGAAGUCCAUAUCUGCAUCAAUUCAACUUUCUGCCCUUGUAAAUCAAAAUAUUUUUUAAGCCCUUAACAUUUAAGGGUUCCCCAAAAUAUUUUUUAAGCCCCUAACAUUUAAGGGUUGGGGAACGAUAUUCCCUCCACAUAUUAAAUGGGAACGAUAACCCCCUUAUGUAAUAUUUUCCGGUGAAAAUUUUCUUUUUUUGAGUAAAGGUCUUUUUUUUUCCUUUUUAGAAUUAAAUUACAUAAAUAUAUAACUCUUAUUAUUGUCCCAUUCACCUAUUCCAUUGAAAAUAAUGUACUUAUCUUUUAGGAUAUAACAACUACUUGAAGUAUUUUUUAAUAAAUUUCAAGUUACGUGACAUUCAUUUUAUCAAUAAUUUUUCAUACGAUAUGUUAAUAACAAAUGUUAUAUCAAUAACUUUUCCUCCUUAAUUUUAAUUAGUUGGAUAUAAUUGGUGUUUAAAGUUUCUGAAAAAAGAUUGUAUGAACUAUAUUUUAAAAAAAUCUUGGUUUUCUCUUCAAGAACUAAGUUAAUUAGGAUAUAUUUAGGACAUUUUUCACACCAUUCAAUACUUGUAUCUUGGACAUAUAUAAAUCUCAUUCACCGUGAGCGUUUUAUGCCAAAUUACAAAUUUUGAUAAAAUUCUACUCUCCAUCCCAACUGAUUUGAAAACUUUGACUAGACACAGAGUUUUAAAAAAUAAACAAAUUUGUGGUCUAAAAUAAAUUAUAAGAUAUCUGUAUGAUUAUAAAUCAUCUUAUCAAUAGUGAAAUGAAAAUUUUAAAAUUAAAUUACUCAAAAUUUUAAAAUUAAAUCACUCCUCCUGGUUCAAAACAAGUGUUCACUUAGCCUUUAGCAUACCUUUUAAGAAAAUACUAACUCCAAACUUGAAAUUUAUUAACAAAUCAUUCCAAGUACUUGUAAUCAGUGUUUUAAAAGGCGUUUUUGAGGCGAGCCUCAGGGCGAGCCCCGGGGCGGGGCGUACCAAAAAUGCCUCGGGGCGAUGGGUCGGGGCGCAAGUCCCCAAAGGCGUACGCCCAACAAUUUGGGGCGUACGCCCAGGCGUUUGGGGCGAGUUUUUUUUUUGUUGGGGCGUAAGCCUAGGCGUUUGGGGCGAGUUUUUUUUUGUUGGGGCGUAAGUCCAGAAAACUUCUUCAAACUAAAACGAAAUUUGUUAAAUAAGUCCUAGUAUAAUGCCCAAAUUUUCAAAAGUCAACAUGUAAUUACUCAAAUAUUUUAAAAAGGAACUGAAACAUUAAAUUUAAAAGUCAAGACCUUUUUUUAUUGCUAGAAUGCCUAAUAUAUGUUCUUUUCCAAUUAUUUAUCUUGUCUUCUACUAUCUCAAAAAAGUAACGAGCAGUCACUUAUACUUGUAAGUACGUAUAAUAGAUUGUUCUAAUUAGUUUUUUUGUGGGGGUGGAGUAUGUAUAUGUGUGUGUAUAUAUAUAUCACUUAUUUAUUGUUUUCUUCAAUUUUUUACGUUAUUUAACCAAUUUAAAAGUAUUUAUUAUAAUUAUAUCAUUUUAUAAAAUACUAAAAAUUAAAGUCCCAUGAGGCUUACGCCUCGUGCCUCGGGGCUUACGCCUCGCUGAAGCAGACAUAAAACGCCUCGCCUUACGCCCCCGCCUUUUAAAACACCGCUUGUAAUUUCAUAAAAGAUAGGUGCAUUAUUUUCAACUGAAUAGGUGAAUGGAAUAAUAAUAAGAGUUAUAUAUUUUUGUAAUUUAACUCUAGAAAGGAAAAAAAGAUCUUUAUUUCAAAAAAAAAAAAAAAAACCACCGAAAAAUAUUAUAUCAGGGGUUAUCAUUUUCCAACCAUUCCUACUUCUAAAAAUUCUCUAUGAAAAGUGCUUGUAAGAGAUUUAGCAACUCCUAACACACAUUUCACUGAAUAGAAAGGGAAAAUAAUGAAACUGAAGAAAAAAUAUAUAAGAAAAGUAAAUAAUUGACACUUACAUAAUUGAGAAAGUAAAAAACUCUAGUCCUAAGUCCUCACAAGCCUCUAACUAUUUGCCGUAAACACAUAAUUUUCGUUCUCUCGUUAAAUAGUCAAUUCUAACUAAAUAUUUUUCUAUAGGUGAAGAAUAGUUAGAUUUCAAUUUUACUUUAGUUUCUUCUUGCUCUAAAAGAAGAUAAAGUACUAAGAGAAUGAUUUGUUAUAAUUUUUAAACUCCAUUAAAUGUUUGUAGUUAGAAUCCUUUGAUAACUUUUUCCUAUUAUAGGAUUACAUAAUACUGAUGUAACAAAUAUUGUUGGAUAAGUAUGUACGAACAGCGAAAACCUAAAAUAUAGGAGGUAAGAAAAUGCAUAAUAAACAUACUUUAGAGUCUUCACAUACCAUUUUCACCUACUUUUAGUAACCAAAAAGGAAGAAAAACACAAGAGAGGACAAUUUUUUUUUUUCGAUGCGAAUUUGAUUAUAAGAUAGGUGAGAUUGAACGAUAAACAUACUGUAGCUUCUUCGUAUACCACCCUCCACCAUUUUUUUUUAAUAACAAAAGGAACAAAAACUUUUCUCCAGAAGGCACAACGAAAUUAACCAGAAUUCGUUGUUUUUCAUUUCUGUAAUUUUCUUUUGUUUUGCUUUUUCCUAUUUCCAACUAAUCAAUUUUGAUUAGUUUUCUGUACUGGCUUUUUCGAUUUGAAUAAACUCCCACCAACUAAUUGGUGUUUUUACAAGCAAAAAAUUAACCAGAAUCAUAUGAAAGAAUUCUUAAAAAGGAAAAAAUAUCCUAAACUACGCCUCAGUCAAUAUUUUAUUGAAACAAUAACUUCACCCACCAUUUGAAAAUCAAGGAGGAAAGGGAGAAGUAUGGGUAUGCAAAAUUCGGAUGCAUUGAUUUAUUAGUAUCGGGUUAUUGAAUUGACGAUUUUUAAACUGUUUUAUAAAUUAUUUAUUUGUUGGACUAUCGGUUCAUUUUUUUAUUUUUAGAUUUUAAUUAAUGGUUAAAUUGAUAACCUAAUAAAGUCAUAAUAAAAUUAUCUUUAUCCCUAAUUAUAAAAGUGGAAAAUGUCAAUUAAAACACGACCUAGCAAUACCUGUAGAAAAUAAAUAAUCCACAUACUGCAACUGCACGCAUCAUUCAACCUGUAAGAAGAGCACAAAAUCAAAAUCAAUUAAACCCCCCCCCCCCCCCCCCCCAAACUAACACGCUAAGCACAUUAGCACAAUUAGUAUUUCAAUUGCUCGGAAGUACAGGAAAAUAAAGGUUUCAAACACAAUUCAAAAGCUUAAUAUAUUCACAAUUAAAAUUAAUGAAAAAGAAGAAGAUAAAAAUGCGGUAAUAUAGUAAGAAUUGAUAUUAUAACCUUAAUCUUUUUAAACUGAAAAGGUCUUAAGCACACAUCAAUAACUCUGGAUAUUUUUAAAGCACCGGCUGAAAACUCAUACUAAUCCUACCCAAAAGAAUGAAAUAACACCACCAUAGUAAAGAAGGAAGGGAGAGUAGAUGAAGGAAAUAAAUUAGGUAACUAUGUAACGAUUAAGUUUGAGAAGGCGUGAGAAAAGAAGCGGACACAGGUGACGUUUGGACUUGGCAUCGCAACUUUUCGGAGAAAGAAAUAAGGAUAAUUAAAUGUAGGACAAAAAGGAGAGGGCGGGGGGAGGGUGGCGGUAAUCGGGAAAAAUUAGAAAAUAGAAUUCCUGGCCUAUGAGGCUGUCACAUCUCCGAACUUAUGUCCUAGGAUUAUAUUAUAGAUAUAGAUUUUUAUACUAACUCCGUGGCUGAUAAUUUUAUUUAUAGACACAAAAGUCCAUCUACCAACUCCACAAGCUCCACUUUUCUUUCCUUCAGCCUCUUAUGAAUUUUGGUGGAGGCAUUAUGAGCUUUCAAUUCUUUUUGCAUAACCUGGCCAUGUUCCCGGCGAUUUUAUACGCUCUCUGCGUACCAAUUUAUUUGAUAUUUUUGCUUCUCAACAUUUAAAAUGUAUGAAUUUUGAUUAAAUUUUAAGAUGUAUUUUUACCAAAUUGAUAUGUGAAACGUAGUAACUUAUAGUAGUACUUUUCAUGUAGUUUUUAAAUAUGUAAAUUUUAAUCUUAAAAUAUUAAAUUAAUCUAAUAUACAAUUUAGCUUCAAAGUAUAAUUAAAUUGACUUUCAAAAAGCCAAAAAUAUCAUUGAAGGGGUAUUAUUUUGGUAUAUUCUUAGGGGUCGUUUGGUAGAAGGUAUAAGCUGGGAUAUCCCAGCACUAAUUUUUAUACCAUGUUUGGUACAAGGUAUAAAUUAGUGCUGGGAUAAAUUUACACCUUGUACCAAACAUGGUACAAAAAUUAGUGCUGGGAUAUCCCAGCUUAUACCUUCUUAUCCACUUAUACUGGGAUUAUUUUAUACCAUCUUUUAGAUGGUAUAAAAUAAUCUCAAUAGAUGGGAUAAAUUAGUCCCUCCCGGGAUAAUUUCGACUAUCUACCAAACGACCCCUUAGAGACUCUAUACAUCCUUAAAGCAGUUAAACUAAAAGGAGCCAAUUGUUACAAAUAUUAAAUUGUUCAUAUGCAAAUUAAUUUAAAUCACAAUAUUGUUUUAAAAAUUGAUUAAGUAAGAUUAUUUUUAAUUAAAAAAAAUUAUUAUUGAAAAUUAUUUCAUUAUAUAAAUAGUAUACCGUUACAAUUUUCUAAGAAGAAACCUAGAGGACUAAAGUCUUUAAUUCAUGUCAUCUUUAAAACGUCUCCUCAUUAAUUAAAUAAUUAUUUAGCCAUUUUUAUAUUUUUAAGAAUAAGUACUUGAACUGAAAAAUUAGGAGGAAAAAAAAAAAAGAAAACACACAAAAAUGAUAAAUGCAAUUUUAGGCCAUAGAGAGGUGUCGCAUUACCUUGUUUAUGCCUAGCUUUAUAUUAUAUAUAGAUAUAGAUCGAUUAAUAAAGCAUCUGAUUUUCGUACGAGAAAACUUGGAUAGGAAAACUUUCAUUAAUGACAAGGACUUUGUCUUACUUUGCCCUUGUAGUUCUAGAUAUGGAAAUUGAUUCAUUAAAUAGAGAAAGGUCAUAAUAGAAUAGUUUAGUCCAUGGAUUCGGAGUGUUUAAAGGUUUCUCCUAUUACAUGUUGGUUUAGAAUUACUGUAAUUGAAUGCAAAUUAUUCCAAGUCCACCAAAACUAGGUUCAAGAAUAUAUACACUUAUAUAUACACCCAUCCUAUAACAAGGACUUUGUCUUACUUCUAUCCGGGAGUUGAAUUGAUUCUUCAAAGUACUAUGGAUAUGAGAAGAUUUUCGCUGAGCAUAGCACGGGGAACAAUGAUGAGUACAAUUCAGAAUGAGGGGCCUUCACCACCAGCGACAAGGACUUCGAUAGAAACACUGCCAAUUGUUGAAAUUGUACAAGAGAAAAGUGUUGUGAAAAUAUUGAAUUAAAUAUCUCAAAAAGAAGUUUUUAAUUCAUUAUUUUAGUAUAUAUUAAUGAGUCAUUAUUUUCAAUUCAAACGUUAUGUUUCUAAAAUCAAAUUGAAUGGUCUUUAAUUUGUAAUCAAAGUGAGCAACGUUAUAGCAGAACAUUUACUACAUUAAAUAGCUCUUUAUAUGUUGUUAAUGAUGAAAUCAUCAUUUGUGAUGCCAUUUACUGUAUACGUUAUUUGGCUAAUAUAUUAGCCUGAUAUUAGUUAAUUGUUUGAACCUAUAUAUACUUAAGUUAUUUUCAUUGGCAGAGCUGAUAUAUACAAAACCAUAUUUUUCCUUAUAGAUUAUAGUGUGCUGGGUUUUCUACUUUUGUGAAAUCUUUGUUAGAUUCUCGCUCCUAGUUUUGUACUAGAAGAGCUUGUUGAAUCCUGGAGAAUACAUCCAUACCGGGUGAAAUAUCCUUAAGGACGGUACCAUUGGCAUGCCUCAAGCUACGAAGAAUUCUCUACAAGUGUUCGUGAUCAAGUAUUUUACUCAAGCUUAGAAGGGGUUCCUACAAGUGUUCGUGUUGAAGAGAAGUCCCUACAAGUGUUCGUGAUGAAGAGAAGUCCCUACACGUGUUAGUGAUGAAGUAUUUUCCGUAAGAUUUCCAACAAAAAGUGAAUGUGAAAUUUGUUUGUUGGAGUUUCAAGUAGGGGAAAGAGCUAAAGAGAUGCCAUGUAAGCAUCUUUAUCAUUCAAAUUGUAUUAACCGGUGGUUGGGGAUACAUGGAUCAUGUCCAAUUUGCAGGUAUAGAAUGCCGCCUGUGGAGACGGCCCAAAGGAGAACGCCGGAAUCAGCUUACAAUUUAGACUCGGAUGAAGAAAUCGUUUUUGAGCUUGACAGCUUCUUAUCUUCUUUUAAUAUUUUUAACUGGCGCUCAUAAGACUUCCGAUUCUUCCAUAUUUUGUCUACAAAGUGUUUAGUUUAGUCAGUUA